rnacentral:hammerhead_ribozyme from 1 species
ACUCAGCUGAUGAGUCUCAAGUAGGACGAAACGCUCGUCAUGGAU